UGGGGACGGAGAAGGUUAGGUUAGCAGACUGUUGGAUGUCUGUUUAAGCAGGUAGGUGGAAGACUUAGGCAAAUCCGGGUCUUCUUAACACCGAGAAGUGAUGACGAGUUUCUACGGAGAUGAAGUAAACUGAUACCACGCUUCCAGGAAAAGCCACUAAGCUUCAGGUUAUUAUAAACCGUACUAUAAACCGACACAGGUGGUCAGGUAGAGAAUACUCAGGCGCUUGAGAGAACUCGGGUGAAGGAACUAGGCAAAAUAGCACCGUAACUUCGGGAGAAGGUGCGCCGGCGUAGAUUGUAGUCCCUUGCGGAUGAAGGUUGAACCGGUCGAAGAUACCAGCUGGCUGCAACUGUUUAUUAAAAACACAGCACUCUGCAAACACGAAAGUGGACGUAUAGGGUGUGAUGCCUGCCCGGUGCUGGAAGGUUAAUUGAUGGUGUUAUCGAAAGAGAAGCUCCUGAUCGAAGCCCCAGUAAACGGCGGCCGUAACUAUAACGGUCCUAAGGUAGCGAAAUUCCUUGUCGGGUAAGUUCCGACCUGCACGAAUGGCAUAAUGAUGGCCAGGCUGUCUCCACCCGAGACUCAGUGAAAUUGAAAUCGCCGUGAAGAUGCGGUGUACCCGCGGCUAGACGGAAAGACCCCGUGAACCUUUACUAUAGCUUGACACUGAACAUUGAAUUUUGAUGUGUAGGAUAGGUGGGAGACUGAGAAGAUGAUACGCCAGUAUUGUUGGAGUCGUCCUUGAAAUACCACCCUUUAACGUUUGAUGUUCUAACGAAGAUUACGAAACGUGGUCUCGGACAGUGUCUGGUGGGUAGUUUGACUGGGGCGGUCUCCUCCCAAAGAGUAACGGAGGAGCACGAAGGUUUGCUAAUGACGGUCGGACAUCGUCAGGUUAGUGCAAUGGUAUAAGCAAGCUUAACUGCGAGACAGACAAGUCGAGCAGGUGCGAAAGCAGGUCAUAGUGAUCCGGUGGUUCUGAAUGGAAGGGCCAUCGCUCAACGGAUAAAAGGUACUCCGGGGAUAACAGGCUGAUACCGCCCAAGAGUUCAUAUCGACGGCGGUGUUUGGCACCUCGAUGUCGGCUCAUCACAUCCUGGGGCUGAAGUAGGUCCCAAGGGUAUGGCUGUUCGCCAUUUAAAGUGGUACGCGAGCUGGGUUUAGAACGUCGUGAGACAGUUCGGUCCCUAUCUGCCGUGGGCGUUGGAGAAUUGGUUGGGGCUGCUCCUAGUACGAGAGGACCGGAGUGGACGCACCACUGGUGUUCCGGUUGUGUCGCCAGACGCAUUGCCGGGUAGCUAAGUGCGGAAGAGAUAAGUGCUGAAAGCAUCUAAGCACGAAACUUGCCAAGAGAUGAGUUCUCCCUAGCUAUAAGCUAGUAAGGGUUGUUGGAGACUACGACGUAGAUAGGCUGGGUGUGUAAGUGUUGCGAGACAUUGAGCUAACCAGUACUAAUUGCCCGAGAGGCUUAACUAUACAACCUCAAGCGUU
rnacentral:rRNA from 1 species